rnacentral:rRNA from 1 species
GUACUCCUACGGGGAGGCAGCAGUGGGGGAAUAUUGCACAAUGGGCGCAAGCCUGAUGCAGCCAUGCCGCGUGUGUGAAGAAGGCCUUCGGGUGUAAAGCACUUUCAGUCGUGAGGAAGGUAGUGUAGUUAAUAGCUGCAUUAUUUGACGUUAGCGACAGAAGAAGCACCGGCUAACUCCGUGCCAGCAGCCGCGGUAAUACGGAGGGUGCGAGCGUUAAUCGGAAUUACUGGGCGUAAAGCGCAUGCAGGUGGUUUGUUAAGUCAGAUGUGAAAGCCCGGGGCUCAACCUCGGAAUAGCAUUUGAAACUGGCAGACUAGAGUACUGUAGAGGGGGGUAGGAAUUUCAGGUGUAGCGGUGAAAUGCGUAGAGAUCUGAAGGAAUACCGGUGGCGAAGGCGGCCCCCUGGACAGAUACUGACACUCAGAUGCGAAAGCGUGGGGAGCAAACAGGAUUAGAUACCCUGGUAG